rnacentral:rRNA from 1 species
GCCUACGGGGCGCAGCAGUAGGGAAUAUUGCUCAAUGGGGGAAACCCUGAAGCAGCAACGCCGCGUGGAGGAUGAAGGUUUUCGGAUUGUAAACUCCUUUUGUUAGAGAAGAUAAUGACGGUAUCUAACGAAUAAGCACCGGCUAACUCCGUGCCAGCAGCCGCGGUAAUACGGAGGGUGCAAGCGUUACUCGGAAUCACUGGGCGUAAAGAGCGCGUAGGCGGGAUAGCAAGUCAGAUGUGAAAUCCUAUGGCUUAACCAUAGAACUGCUAUUGAAACUGUCGAGCUUGAGUGAAGUAGAGGUA